UACAGAGGUCUCAAGCGUUGUUCGGAAUCACUGGGCGUAAAGGGUGCGUAGGCGGCGGAGUAAGUCGGGUGUGAAAUUUGAAGGCUCAACCUUCAACUAGCACCUGAUACUGCUUUGCUUGAGGUCUGAAGAGGAGCUUGGAAUUCUCGGUGUAGCAGUGAAAUGCGUAGAUAUCAGGAGGAACACCGGUGGCGAAGGCGGGUCUCUGGGCCGAUAACUGACGCUGGAGGAGCGAAAGCCGUGGGGAGCGAACAGG
rnacentral:rRNA from 1 species